UUCGAGAUUCCCCUUAUUACGUUUUCGUAGCGCUUUGCAUUGUGGUUAUAGUGGUAUCACUGAUAAAGAUAGCGGCCUCGAAUGAAAAUAUUGAAUGUUUUCGCGAAUAUUUUGCUGUUGGCUAUCGCGCAUCUGACCCUAGCUUUUUUUAAAAGUUCUUGCACGGGUCAGGACAAAAAAUAAGCCAUCUUGAAUAUCAGUGAUACCACUAUAGCCACAAUGCAAAGCGCUACGAAAACGUAAUAAGGGGAAUCAUAGGCGUACCGGGCGGGGGGGGGGGGCGGUAGCCCCCCAGUUUUUUGGGCAGUCGGGCAAUAUUCGAUCAACAGUCGGGCAAUUUUGGUUUGCAAUAAAAAAAAAUGGGACAAAUUCUGUCACUUUUGUCUAAACUUAAGUAAAUUUUUUGGCAAAUUUAGUGAUUUUUCGAAAAUUUGUGUAAUGUUCCGAAAAAUAUUGGUUGUCCGGAAAAUUUUUUUGACCCCUUAAAUGGUACACUGACAAUUUUUCCGGAAAAAAAUUUUUGGUACUAUAGUCGGGCAGAAUCCCGAAAAGUCGGGCAAUUUUCUUUCCGCCCCCCUAAUUUUCCCCUUCCG